GUUGCCACCACGAGGAGGUGGGGACUCAAGGCGGGACCGCCGGUGACAAACCGGAGGAAGGUGGGGACGGACGUCAAGUCAAUCAUGGCCCUUACUGUCCUGGGCUACACACGUGCUACAAUGGCCGGUACAGAGCGCAGCGAGGCCGCGAGGCGGAGCGAAUCGACUUAAAGCCGGUCCCAGUACGGAUUGGAGUCUGCAACCCGACUCCAUGAAGUUGGAAUCGCUAGUAAUCGCGCAUCAGCAUGGCGCGGUGAAUACGUUCCCGGGCCUU
rnacentral:rRNA from 1 species